rnacentral:rRNA from 1 species
GUCCACGCAGUAAACGAUGAGAACUGGCUGUGAUGCGUAGGGAGCAAUCUCUGCGCGACGUAGCGAAGCUAACGCGUUAAGUUCUCCGCCUGGGGAGUACGGCCGCAAGGUUAAAACUCAAAGGAAUUGACGGGGGCCCGCACAAGCGGUGGAGCAUGUGGUUUAAUUCGAUGCAACCCGAAGAACCUUACCUACCCUUGACAUCCUUGGAAUGAGGCAGAGAUGCCUUAGUGCCGAAAGGAACCAAGAGACAGGUGCUGCAUGGCU